rnacentral:rRNA from 1 species
GAUGAACGCUAGCGGCAGGUCUAAUACAUGCAAGUCGAGGGGCAGCGCAGUGUAGCAAUACAUGGGCGGCGACCGGCAAACGGGUGCGGAACACGUACACAACCUUCCUACAAGUGGGGAAUAGCCCAGAGAAAUUUGGAUUAAUACCCCGUAACAUAGCGAUGUGGCAUCACAUUGCUAUUAUAGCUUCGGCGCUUGUUGAUGGGUGUGCGGCUGAUUAGAUAGUUGGCGGGGUAACGGCCCACCAAGUCUACGAUCAGUAGCUGAUGUGAGAGCAUGAUCAGCCACACAGGCACUGAGAAACGGGCCCGACUCCAACGGGAGGCAGCAGUAAGGAAUAUUGGACAAUGGACGCAAGUCUGUUCCAGCCAUGCCGCGUGAAGGAUUAAGGUCCUCUGGAUUGUAAACUUCUUUUAUAAGGGACGAAAAAAGGUCUUUCUAGAUCGUCUGACGGUACCUUAUGAAUAAGCACCGGCUAACUCCGUGCCAGCCGCCGCCGUAAUAC